AUUUAACUUACAAUUAAACAGAAGUUAAGUAAUUCAGCAAUAUUACCCAAAUGAAAAGAGAGUGAGAGUGGCAUCAAAGACAAUACAAGGUUGCUGGACUUAAAUACAAGAGUCAAAUAGUAAACAUAUCUUACUAAUAGUAUUAACAUCUUUAUAAGGUACAAAUUUGGAAGUAAAUAUAGGCUAUUAAGGAAGUAAAGAGUAUUUCAGGUUGAAGAUAGCAGAACCCCAUCAACAGUACGUGCGUAUCCUCGAGGAAGCCAACUGCUAAAGUGGCUCCUGCCAAAUAGGAACUCAAGGACAUCCUAUUUCAGAUCCUACUUCAGCUUGCUCGGAGCUACCAAAACUAGAGUAAGAGCUGCUUCAAUUGGAGAUGGGUGCUGUAAUAAAAUUGUCUACUUUUUCUAGCUCAAGCAAUUCUCCCAAUCUUUAAGAUAAGCUUGUAGAUAUGCCUCUAAUGGCGUAGCCUCCGCUGCAUUAUUGUAUACAUUAGCAGCAGUUGAGGAAGUUAGCGCAUCAGAAAGUGUUGGUACUUGGUUAAUCCAUUCACCUUCUUCACAGGCUGAUAUAUCAAAAGUGAUUGGGCAUAUUAAUUUGCCAUUCACAUAGGUUGACAUAGCCGCCAUCUCAUUUGAAUUUUGAUCCUCUUGAUCAAAAUCCAAAUAGUAAUGUGAUUCUCCUUCAUCGCCAGCUGAAUCAGUGGUCACUUCAUUUAGAUUUUUAUUUUCAAAAUCAAAAGCUAUAAGGUCAUUCUGCUCAACUCUGUCAUAGGUUGAGAUAGUAAUCGACUCGUUGGGAUUACAAUUUUCAAAAUCAGAAGCCACAUGGAUGCUCGGUUCACAUUCAUCACAAGAUGAAUUAGUUGUCAUCUCAUUGAACUUUCCAAUUUCAGGAUCACAAGGCAAUACAACAUCACCGUUGUUGAUCUUCUCAUCAGGCUUUGCCUUCAAUUUACAGAGAAGGAAAUUACCCUGGACAGCCAAGGUAGAACUUGAAACCACAUAUUCAUAUUCGUGCAUGAUCCAUUUGGUCCUCCUCGAUUUAGGAUGAUCUCUUACAUAGAAUACUAAACUUCUUUUUGUACCAAUCUCUUCCUUGCUAUGUUUAUCUUUCACUUUACGCAGCUUGCCAGUGGGUUUCCAAAAUCCUGCCCUGGUUGUUCGAUUCGAACGACGACUACCCGAAUACUUAUAAUCACGGGGACAAAAGAAAUACCACACUUGGUCCUCUGAACCUGUGUCAACUAUAUCUGCACAUAAACAACGUUCAUUAAUCAAAUACCAUAAGGAAAAUAAGAGAAAGAUUGUAGCAGAGAUGUUUGUUUACCAGGUAGAUCCCACGGCUCAAAGUCGCAAACUUUAAUCUCGGUGAUAGUUGAGUCAUCAUCAUCGCAACCAAAUAUCUUUCGCUUCAAAAAAUGAUUAACCAGCUCAUAAUCUGUUGGAUGGAAUCUAUACCCAACCAUUGGACCUAUCGACAUAGCUAUAAGGGAAAAAAAAUGAAGUUAUAAAGAAGAAAUAGCAACGGAGUAACAGCGCCAAAGGAAGGUAAAUGUUUCGCAGAGAAAGUAAAAAAAAAAUUCCCACCAGCAGAGACGUUGUGUUUCAUUCCUCUUCCUAAAAUGGAACGCCAAGGCUUGGUUGAUUUGAGAGAAGGAAGGCUUAUAUCUUGAGAUAUAAAACACGAAACAGAGGAAAAUGAGUUGCAGAAAUGUAGCAGAGCAUUAGCUAAGAGCUAUAAAGAGAACAUUUUGAAGUAGGGAAUAUUUGUGUUAGGAAGCAGAGAGGAGGGAGUA
rnacentral:misc_RNA from 1 species